AUACGGAGGGUGCAAGCGUUAAUCGGAAUUACUGGGCGUAAAGCGUACGUAGGCGGUUAUUUAAGUCAGAUGUGAAAGCCCCGGGCUUAACUUGGGAACUGCAUUUGAAACUGGGUAACUAGAGUUUAGUAGAGGGGAGUGGAAUUUCAGGUGUAGCGGUGAAAUGCGUAGAGAUCUGAAGGAACACCAGUGGCGAAGGCGACUCCCUGGACUAAAACUGACGCUGAGGUACGAAAGCGUGAGUAGCAAACAGGAUUAGAUACCCCGGUAGUCC
rnacentral:rRNA from 1 species